AGACUUUGAUUAUGGCUCAGGACGAACGCUGGCGGCAUGCCUAACACAUGCAAGUCGAACGGACUUUGGUGAAGGAAGUUUUCGGAUGGAAUUCACCGAGGUUAGUGGCGGACGGGUGAGUAACGCGUGGGUAACCUGCCCAUAAGACUGGGAUAACUUCGGGAAACCGGAGCUAAUACCGGAUAUAUUCUUUUGUCUGCAUGGAUAGAAGAAAAAAGAUGGCCUCUCGACGAAGCUAUCGCUUAUGGAUGGACCCGCGUCUGAUUAGCUAGUUGGUGAGGUAACGGCUCACCAAGGCGACGAUCAGUAGCCGGCCUGAGAGGGUGAACGGCCACACUGGGACUGAGACACGGCCCAGACUCCUACGGGAGGCAGCAGUGGGGGAAUCUUCCCCAAUGGGCGAAAGCCUGACGGACCAAUGCCCCCGUGAGUGAAAAAAGCCUUUCGGUUUUAAAGCUCUGCCUAAGGGAAGAAUGUCUUUGGGUAAUAAUGCAGGGUAUUGCCGGUCCUUGGGAGGAAACCCCGGUAAAU
rnacentral:rRNA from 1 species